rnacentral:lncRNA from 1 species
UUAGAAUACUUGUGCCCUUUAUGGAGUUCUGAAUUCUGGUGGCUACUGGGCAAAUCCUGCUGGAGCCUGAGAGAGGCGAUCCCUCUGACAGGACGGCACUCAGAUCUUCGGGUUGUGCUGUGUGACAAAUGGUGGCAGUGGGUGGUAUGUGGAUACAGAGACCCCCUAAUUAGCAGGUCACCAAAAGAAAGUGAAUCUGCUGCUUCUGGAAUUGGGUGGGUUGUGGAGCACUGCACACUUUGUAGUUUUCCGCUGCAACCAUUUGCUGUUCUCCGCGUGACACCAGGGCCUUCCCGGGACUCUGUCUCCAAGGUUCAGAAGCUAUGACUCUGUCCCUAAUUCCAGACAACUGGAACACUGACUGGGGCAGUGUCUGAAUUCAGGAACAAAGUGUAACGAUCCCCGGUUGAACUUGGGGGGUGGGGGCAGGCGGCCUCUACAUUGCAUCUAUGAAGAUGUGUGUAGACUGAAGGGCUGACAUCAUCUUGCCUCCAUGAAACUCUGCCAAUGCUGCUGAAGAAAGUCUGAGAGAUGAGGAAGCUCACCCCACCCCCACCCCCUACUCGAGUUGUUCCUGAAGCCAGACCUGGCUUACAGUAUUCCCCUCACAUGGGCUGACCAUUUCCCCGUUUCCUGACCCAGCGCACUGGGUUACAAGUCCCUGCGGCUUACUGCUGGGGGAAGGUGGACAAGAGCCAUUGCUUGUUCAGGCCUCCUGCACACUGCCCACUUCUCUAGGAGAUUCAAAUUCUUGUCAUUACUCCUCACAACAGCUCCAGGAGGGCGUGCAAUGCAAACGCUGUCUCCACGUUAAAGAAUGACAAGGCCUAGCAAGCCUCUGUGUCCACUGUGCACAGUCAAACACAGCCGCAGGCCCAAGGUUUAGAGGUGGGGCUUUAUUGGCUGUCAGACUUCCAAGGGAUCCAACCUUUUGGGUCACUGAGGCCACUAUACGGCCCAAACUAGAGACUCUGACACGGAGGCUAGGGAGCUGGAGAAAACUGGUGGUGAUCCUUUCUAGCUCUGGAUAGCAGCUGGACCUGAGCGUCAGGAGGUCAUGGGGUAGACAUUUGGCAGGUCUUACACACACAGUCUCUGAGUCCAAACCCUGGGACGUUUCUUGUUUUCUGGAGACACGGUCUCACUAUGGGACUCUGGCUGGUUUGGAACUUGAUGUGUAGACCAGGCUGCUCUUGAACUCACAGAGCUCUCUGCCUGCCUCUGCUUCUCUAGUGCUGUAAUUAAAGGCAUGUGCUAUCAUAACCAGCUAAACCUUGGGUUUCGUUUCAGAAUAACACCAUGAUAGUAGUUUCUUUUCAUCAAGAUUAUCCAGUUCCCACUAGGAACGCUCAAUUGUAAAUUUGAAUUCAACUCUUUGGAAGAAUAUGCUAACAGCCAACAGUUUUCAAAAGUCCACUUCCUCUAACAAGGCUACACCUCCUGAUCUUUGCAGUCCUUCCAAAGAGCAACUAAGCAUCCAACUGUAUUCAAACAUAUGAGCCCACGGGGUCAUAAAUGUGGCCAGGCUGCCACAUUUAUGAAAUGUUAAAGCCUAUAAUUUCUUCAGUGCAACGCAAUUCACCAAGACAAUGUGAAAGCUUAGUGUUACACAGCCAAGACAACACUACAAUCAAAGCCAAGGCGGGAAGCAACGAAAGAUGUGCACUUUGGACUUGGUGUGUUGAAGCAAGGUCCCACGGUGUAGCGUAGGCUAGCCAAAAACUCGAAAACUCUCCUGCCCAGGACUCCCAUGUGCUGAGAUCCCAGGUGUGCCCCAAUACACUCUGCUCGAGCCAUACACAUCUUAGUGUCACACAUUCAACUCUUCUAACUCUCGAGCCCAGUGAGGAAGCCUUAGAGGCGGGAGAACAUUUUAGUUUUUAGUAAGGCGGAAACACUUGAAAUCCCAUUUCACAUGUAAUUCCCUCACAUUCUCCCUCGUCCCAAGCAGCAGAGUAUUUUGUGAUACGUUGGGAAGCUCCACUACCCGUUAAAAAAAAAAAGUACUGAUUCAUACAAAAUGUACUGGCACCAAUCUCCACACAGUGAUUGUGCAGCUGACACACUCAGAGGCUACGCAUGUGCCAGGCCUGCGUAAGCAUUUGCACACAUCUUCACAGUACCUCAUCCUUUCAUGGUCACUAAACAGUGCCUAUUUCAUGGUGGACACCAGUUUCCAUGGGUGCCGUCCGGGCUGCUGAACACCCACCACAGUUGUCUGCUAAUUUAAACACUUCAUUGCACACCUUUCACGUCCUGCUUUGCGGAUGUCUUGGUGCCUCUUCCAGAUCCACCGGACUCAGAGCCAUGUUGGGAGACUUGGAUGUUCGAGACGUAACCUGAGACGUCUCUGCAGAGCGUGCACUCUGCCUGUAAGCCCCAUCUGCAUGGGGCAGUUUAUCCCCAUGAUGCCUGCAGUACUCUAUCAACCACGGCCUCCUCACUCAGCCCCACCCAUCCUUGAUUUUACCCCCACCAAGGUCAGAAUCCACCUGUAGCAUUUUAUGGGAACACUUCCCUUCUGGAUAAUCAUGAUGACCUGUUCCUGGUCAGGUGCCCUAGUUGGAGAUGUCCCUGUAGUUGGUUCCCUCUCAGCAGAACUUGCUCGGGGCAGUUACAACCUGGGCUAGUUAAUAAGUCAGCUGGCUAGUUUGGGAGGAUCUGAUUCACUCCACCGCCACAAAGGGAUUCAACUAAUCUCUUUUAGCUCCAGCAAACAGCUCUAAAGGGUGCCUUUAGAGUCCAGGGGCGGAGGCCCUGGAAUGUGGCCACGUGGAUGUGGCUUGGGGGAAAAAAAAGCACAGGUUUUAACCUGCACCUGUAAGAGACUCAAGACUUGAACGCUAUGUUCCCCACCAGCCUGCUCUUGGCUCUGCUCUCCAGUCAUAACAGGACAACACUGGUGGGAGGGAGGGAGGACAAGACGUCCACUCAGACCUCGGCCCACUCUGGGGGAAAGGACUGUCUCUGUGUCAUAACUUGAAUUACUCAAAUCCCGUCUUCCUCUCCCGUUAGCCAUCAAUGUUGUCACACAGGUACAAAGCUUCUUUGCACACCAUCUUCUGUGGACUAUUUUUGGGUCCCCAAAUUACUCUGUUUACCUCAACCAGAAACACUUGUCUCCGGAGCCUGAGCGCUGGACUGUGGUGAGGUGAGGUGAGGUGCCUGGCCCAUCCCCUCUGCUUGCCCCUGUGUUUAGUUUGUAGCCUCCAACCUGGUAUCUGCUUAGAAGCCCCCUGAGCAGUAGACCCAGGGGCUAUGGCUGCUGGUGUGCCUUAGCCACUGGGGGACCUGGAGAUCAAAGGCCAGAGCAUGUUUCCCCUGCUUCCUCUGAUAACGGCUCUCUCUUGGUGGCACUAAGUCCCACUGGGAGUUCUAGAAUUCUGUCAAUUGCCCCCAACCUGCAGAAGGAGAUUCAGAGAAGAGCCCUGGGCAGCAGUUGAGGUGUACUGAUACAGUUGCACAGGAGCCUGUGGGGACUGAGACAAUUGUGUUUUUAAAGACUUUUUUUUUAAAGUAGCCCAUAUUCUCAGCUACAAAGGUUCAUUUUCAUAAAAAUGUCUUUCCCUCUUAAAUUGGCCUAUAAACAACACGAUCCCAAUAAAAAUAGCAAAAGAGUUUUAAAAUUUGGAAUCUAGUCGACACCUAAGUUUAUAGGGGAGAUUAAACAUGAGGCACAGCCAGAGGACAGUAUCUAAAAGAGGCCCAGAGUCAUGGUGCAGCCUGGAAUUCUAGCACUUUGGAACGUAGGGAGGAAGUUCCUGGGCCCCUGGACUCAUGCCUAGUACAAGCUCUGUGCUGUGCUGCCUCCCCCAAAUCACCCUAAACAACAGAGCUAAGUGACAAAGUGACAUGAAUUAAGAUGUCUAAAAUGAUGAGCAAAAGAACGGGCUGUGGCAUGGCUCUGCAGGCAGAGGCUCUUGGCCCUAAGAUCUGGGUUUGAGCCCCAGAACUCACAAGGCAGAAGGAGAGAACUGACUACUGCAGGCUGUCCUCUGAACUCCACAAGUGUGGAGGCCACACAAAAAGAAUGAUGAAUGGUUUGAUAUUCAUAUAUAAACAAUCAUUAUGCAGUUUAAAUGUAUAUUUACACAUACUAUGUAUUCACUUAUAACUACAAUAAACUAUCCAUUUAUACAAUU